rnacentral:lncRNA from 1 species
UCUUGGUUUUAACCGACCCGAAGGUCAUCCACGUGGAGACCACGUCAAGAACCACAAUUG